AAACAGUUCCAAAACUGGAAUGCCAUACCUCGUUGAAUUCGUAACAAAAUUUACUAUCCACCUGUGUUCAAAUAAGAACAAAUGUAAUUUUUUGCCAUUUUUCGCAAAUUUGGAUGAUGAUUUUGAGUCUGCAAAAGUGUGUUUUGCUCUCUCUGCUGGCUAUUUCCUAUUUCCUAAUAUUUCAGUUUUCAGUGUAAGCCCCGACUCUUUGAAUCCAGGUUGCUAUAUUCUCCAGCCCCUUUUUCGACAUUCAACAUUUAUUUAUUUUCUUUUUUACCCGCUGCCUUUAAUCUGUUUUAUCUGGCACAGCUUUCGCACCACGGCUUCUCCUUAUCAAUAUGCAAAAGUUCGUUCCGGCAGAGAAGGCGAAGAAAUGGGAAGUGGGCGUGGCACGUUGGAAACUUUUGGCUAGGCGGCAGCUGAUUAAGUGUAUAGUCCAGUGGACAGGAGGCUUGGCAGGGUCGAAGGGGAAUGGGAAGGACUCACUCCUCUGCACUGGAAAUUGUUCAGCAUAGACAUUAAAAUAAAUGUAUGCCAUAAAAAUACGCACAUAUAUAUGUGUAUAAACACUGGGUAGAGUUGGGAAGUUGACAGAGCACAGAAAACGCUGAAAAUUGUUUAUCACCAUGAAAAGUUUUCAGUUUGCCCCUGCUACUGGUUGUUCUUGUUGUUUGUUUAUUUGUUUGCUUGCUUAUUUUUGCUAUUUUCCGUUGCAUACUUUGCAGCGCAUGUGUGUGUGUGUGUGCCUGUCCUUUGCCUGUGUGCGUUUUCAGUUAAUCGAAAAAGUUAAUCAUCGAAGUUUGGCGCCACAAAAGCUGCUUGGUCACAGCGAAAUGUAUUUCAUGAAAAACAAAUAGAAUUAAAAAAAGCCUAAGCUUGCUAUGUGGGUCUUAGUUAAUCAUCUUCGGAAAAUUAUGCUGUUAAAUUUAAUAAUUCCGAAUAGUUUCAAAUCAAGUGAGUACGCAGAGUAUCUUGUAAAAUGAAAAAUAAAAUUGGACAUUUGGCAAACUAGAAACACUCGGUGUGCGUUUGCACUGCCUUUUCAUCUUCUGAAUGUGAUUUGGCCUUCUUGACAUUGAUUUCAAGGCUUACAAUUAUUACCUUCCCAGUUGAUUGGCUGCCAAACCAGGCCCAAUCAGCCAGCCAACCACCCCAGAAACAUCGAACCAACCAAAGGAACAUCCACCAUCCACCGUUAGCCACAAUGAGCUUCCUUUUGGCGGAAGUUUUUCGCCGCCCGGCAAACAUUUUCUAGAGACGAGAAAUUGCAUUGCAUAUUAUUUGCUGAUUGAUUGAGUGAUUGAUUACUGGCAAGGCACCUUCGACAAUUUUAGACCCCAACCUUUCCUAUGAAAAGGAAAACACCCUCAUUGCUGUUCUACUGCUUUGCUGCCUUACUGCUUUUACUGGUGGCACAUUAUAGUCAUCACGUAGAAAUUUUAUAGGCGCCGCUCCAUUGAAAGCUUUACAAAUUGUCAUUUGAGCCUGGGGAAAAGAAGCGAACAGCUAGCAACGCUGAGUUAUUAAGUGCCAAAUGACAGUCCUCUCCUUGUCCUUUGACAUAGACUUGACUGUCGGGACUUUCCGCAUCGCAACCCUCAAUCCCUCAAAAAAAAAAAAAGAACGCGGCCAUUAGUUUGUCAUUGUCUACGACAUCCUCGACUUUGAACGUCAAUAAUUGAGCGUAAAAUAUGAUUUAAGAAAAAAAAACGUGAAUGGUGGUUGGAAGUAUUCGUUUUCCAGGACGAUAUGAGCGCACCUGCACUUGUCUUGACUGCUGUCUAGUCAGACUUCAGGAUAAUAAUCGAAAAUUCCACUUAUAUAUUGUAUGUACACACCUACAGAUAUACUUGUACGAGUAUAUAGGACGGCUCCUCCUUCGCCGCAAAGUUCAAUUUGAAAAUGGUGCGGCUAGGUGGAUAAGUACUGCUUGACUGCGCUUUUCAAUCUGCACAAAAAGCCAACGAAAAGUCGGCGAAAAAUAAAGACAGAGCGAUAGAAAGCACACACAUUACUUGCACAACAAAAUGAAAAAUUAAGAAAUCUUCUUCAGCGAGCACAGCGAGAAAUAAUAAAAGUAAUAGAAGAGCAGAAAAGGCAAAGGCAAAGGAUUCAACGGUGGUUUUUCGCCACAAAUGCAUUUGUCUGCUGAUGGCGAUGUUCGUUUCGACCGCAAUUCAUCAGGAAAGCAACUUUGUCCAAGAUGGCAGCUGGAAUCGGAUGCUAGACAGGACUCUGGAUUGGAACAAAUUAGAUGACAGGAUAUUAAUCUGGCGAGCGGCCAUGGUGGAUUAUUGAUGAUUUCUGUUGUAAUUCAGGGCAGCACUGUUUUCUAUUAGUUCGAUUUGCUUAAGGAAAGUUUUAUUCAAUAGCUAAAGCCCGCUUAAAUAGUUUCUAUCUGAAGGUUGGAAGUGAGUUCAUAAUUUACCCCAAAGUUGGAUAGAAUAUUUCAAGUAAAGUUUCACCUUUAGGUUUUCCUGCAGACGGUAUAUUUCGUUUUAAGUGCCUCAAAGAUAUAGAAGCCCAUCCACUUUGCUUCUCGGUGAAAUUCCGGGAAUGCACAAACAAACGGGCAAAAUGCUGAUGGGCGGAGAAAUGUGGGCGUGUCUGCAUAGGGAAGCACUUUGCAACUUCCUUGCUGCAAUUGGAGUGGCGGGGCUUUAUGGCGGCUGCCACUUCGUUUGGGCACAGGUAAAAGACAAAGGAAACGGAAUACUUUCACGGAUGCAAAAAAAAAUAUAAAAAUAAAAAUAUAAAAAAAAAAACCAUAUAAAAUAAGAGACAGGGAAGUGCGUCUUUCACUUAAAAAGCCAACGGCCUCUCUUUGGUUUUUUGCUUUUUGCAAAAUUAGACAAAAUUAGCAAGGAAGCUUAGCUUCAGCUUCAGUUUCUGUCCAAAAGAGGGAAGAAAGAAAGAGUGGAAAGAAAAGGGCGGGUCGGGGCAAGGAGACAAACUCUUGAAAGCCAAAAAGCAGCAGCAAAAAUGGGAGAUGGGGGCUAAAAAGGUGGCCACUUUGCUUAAUUAAACGCGCCAGUUUCGUUGUGGCUAGAGAUUGAAAACUGUGCCAAGUGGCUCCAGUCGACACUUCAUGUUGUUCCCUCCGCUGGCUGGGGCAAUUUUUAAUUUAAAUAAUUAAAGAAAAGGUGCCAACUUGAGUUUAUCAGCCAAAGAAACGCGGAAGUCUUGGUGCGCAAAAAAAAAAGAAGAAGCAAAUGUGUAAGAGAUAGGAGGGAGGAUAGGAAAACAAACACCCAGCCUAGAAAAUGCCAUCAGCAUUUGGCAUCAGCACUUUUCAUUUUAGCACCUUUCAGCAAUAAAAUUUUCUGCACAACUCGACAAUUUUAUGCUCUCCUUCAGACAAAAGGUGAAGCCCAGUAAAGGGAGUCUGGGAAAAUAGAAAGCAGGCGACUAGUCGUAGUUAAAAGAUCUGCACGCUCCGAUAGGCGUAGACUUUUUAAUGAAAAGCCAAAGGAGAAUACCCUUAGCAAAAAAAAAUCCAAGGCUUGUACAAAAGUUGCAAGUGAACGAGUCUGCGAUGUUUUGCCAUAGAUAAGGGCACAUCCCUUUAGACCCACAAGCCCAAAAGGCUCCAACACACAAGAUGGAGAUGGUAUUGCCCCGAUAAGGUCACUCUAUUGGGUGGGGUUAAAAAUGGACAAAGCUCAUGCGACGAAAGGAGUAUCUAAAUAUCAGAUUAUAGAAAACAUCAGAAGCUGAUGCCUUUUCAAAGAAUGGCAAGGUGGCCGAGUAGCGUGACUCUACUUUAAGUUAUAUGUAAAUCAUAAGCUAUCAAUUUGUUGGACACCUUGCCCCACAAUUGAAUAAACUAAACCGACCGUUUCAAUAAGCUCAAAAAAGCCCAAAAGCUAGCACCUUAAAUAGGAUUACAAAUUCUUAAUUGAAUACAAUGAAUUAAAGGCAACCAAGGGGCGAAUUUAAGGCAAUUCAUCGGAUUUCUCUCACCCCCUUCAGUUGGUCAGUUGCUUGAACAAGUCAACUAAUUAGGUGCCAAAUGAGAAAAGAAAGAAGGGAGAAUGAAACUAAAUAAGAAAGAGAAUGCUGCACGAAGUCAACGAUUAGCUAAUAAGACGAUUGGCAGUAACAGUGGCAGUGGCAAACUUUUGCCAUUGGCCACUUUGUGAAAUUGUUUGCCAUAUUUGCAGCUGCUGAAACUUUAUCGGCCGUGCCAACACCAAUACUCGGACAAUGGACUCCACACACACAUACUCACUGGCUCACACACACACACACGAACUAGUCAAAUAAGCUGAACCAACUUGAGGCGAUGAACAGAGCAGAGCGGAGCGAAGCUGGAUGGGCUAUGUGUCCUAUGUCCUGGGUCCUGGGAUCAGGCGAUGGCCACGCGCAUUGAAUAUGGAAUAUAUGCGAUGGCAAACACAACAGCUGAAGCAGCACAGCAGCCACAUCAACACCAACAGCAUGGCAGCAACAAUAAGGACUCAUGUCCAGUGCGGCAAUAUGAAGAGCCUUUAUUAAGUAGAAGGUCAUAUCGAGUUACACACUUCAUGACAAAAUUUGCACAAGGAGAGGGAAACGGAACAUGUGCGACUACACUGCGAGAAUUGUGCGCACUCUAUUACUCGAUAAACGGCAAAGUUGAUGAGCAGCUACGUGAAUUGUUUAGCAUUAUAAACUACUGAUUGAUGUUACUUUACUCUUAAUUUUAACUGCUCCUCUAUAUUGGUGGUUGAUAUCGUGAAACGUAAAUAUAAACCAUUUCUCAUCCUGCAUCCUGCAAUCAAGAAGAGGAAAGGGCAACAUAUCACACACUGGGUAAAAGUUUGUCAAGCUGUCGCUGCUCUUCCGUGGCAAGUGGUAGACUAAUUAAUGAAUUGGCAUAAGUUUCUGGCUGUGCCCGUGCCCGUGCACUGGACUCCAAAACGAAUCCACACAACAUAUAUGUAUGUCAAAAGUAAGGGGAGAAACUAGGACAAACUACAUGUGUGUUCCAAUUUACUUUGGCUUUGCCACACUCCUAUUCUAUUACAAUGCCUAACUGAAGGCAACUUUGCAUUUGGGUAUCUUAGCUUCUCUUAAGGUUUCAAUAAGUAAGUAAUUUCGCCAUCUAUCCAAAAAGCGUCACCUAACACACUAAUCAUAAGCUAAGUAUUUCAGUUUGCCGCUGGCAAAGGCAAACAUUUCUGGGCCGCUGGUGAAAGUUUUUCUAAUUGCUGCGAACCGAAAAUCUAGCUCACAGCCGCUAAUGCCGCAGCACCACCCACCGAGUUACCAAACGAGCCACCGAGCAACCGAGCCACCGAACCAACGUUGAACCACCGAAAACGUAGAAGCCGGCAAAAUUGCUGCCAAUUAGCGAGUCUUGUGCGAGUAGGCAAUUAUUAUGCGCUAGAUGUUGCUGCGGCUGAUUCGGAGCCAAAUUAGCGACAGCAACGAAAUAAGUUUCCCUGUUUAACUACUCUCUUUUUUCCCUUCUCUCUAUGUAUUUCCUACACUUUUAUCCACCACCACCACCCCAUUUAAGUGGUUGAACAAAAAUUGUAGCACACUUUUAAGCGUUGGCUUUUCUUUUUAUUUAUUUUUUACCCCACCACCCUUCUUUUUGGUUUUAAGCUCUUUCAGGGCCAAAGUGCCAUAAAAAGCACAACAAAGAAUUGCAUAAUAUAACUAUGUGUGUAUGCGCGUGUACGCUGUAUUGUAAAUCUAAGGCCGCAGAAAAAAACGCAAAUAUAGAAGAGGAACAUUAGCCGCAUUUUGUCUUGGCAGCCCUGCCUCCAUCCACACACACCGAAAAAGCCAAAAAAAAAAAAUAGAAAAUACACCAACACACGUGUCCAUUUUCUGCAUGCGAAUCACGUAGGUAGAAAAGAGGCGGCGAAGGGGCGUGAUGUUGCAAAAAGGGGAGGUGUUGCUGGUGUUUUUGUUGUAGCUAGUUUAAAUGCUCAACGCCAUGCCAUGCUCAUUUUUUAGUGAAGUUUUAUUUCGAAAGACAAAGUCGACGACAUGUACGUGCAACAAUACACCGGGACAGAAAGAGAUGCCACCAAACAGCCAGCAGCCACAGAAGGGGCCGCGCGAUAUCCAUUUAGAUAGAUGAUGGGCCAUAUGCACCUGCCCUCUCUCUCGUCCCAUCACUAAAGGUCUCUCUCUUCUCAACUAUAUUUAACUCUUUCUCUUGGCUUCACACACACACACUAGCAAAAUUGCCAGAUUCUUGACAACACUUUCCAGACAGACAAUAUAUUUCAAGUCCCGAAAUGCGCGAAAAAGCAUUUGCCUCAUGAAUCGAAUCGAUCCUCCCAACUAUUUGAUACUCUCGUUGCUUGCAGUACCUCAGUAUAAAAGUACAUUUUGGUAAAAACAAUUACGUUUAGCAGGCUGACGAUGACUUGCGCCCAAAAACGAAAUAACACAUUUUAACGAUGGCCUUUAAUGGUUUUCAAUUUUACAUUUACUUUAGAACUCAGGUGAUUUCCUGUCGCCGAGAAAUACCGAGGAAAUUAAAGAUACUGUUGGGCGAUACAGAAAAUAUAUAAAUAUAUAUACUCCGGUUAUACAUAUGUAUGUAUGUUUUUAGAGUUUACAAUGCUCACACUAUUUUUUUCAGUGCAUUGUGUCUGUGUAUUUGUUUUAUGGUUUUAGUUUGUGCUUAAUAAACUGUUUAAGUUUUGAAAUGCAGACGGCUGAGUGGCAGACAGAAUGCUUCAACAGUCGGGCCAACUUUAUGUUCAAAUUGUGCCGCUGGCAACAAACACACACGCACACCCAUAUCCAGAUGCACAUAGGCAUGCACACCACGCCAUACACACACACGUGACUGCAUAAUAAGCAAGUGCUUGAAAGGCCUCAAAAGCAAACAACAACAACAACACCAACAUGAGUGGAACAAGCCACCUCAACGAUUCUGUUUAGGUUGCUGAUGAUGCACAGCCGUCAGUGGAUAGGGACAAUAGGAGGUUUAGAACAGAGCUGAGAAUGGGUGAUAUGGGGGUCAGUAGGGGGGUUGGCAUGGGGUUGCUAUAGGAUUGGUAUGAGGUUAGUAAGGGGUGAAUAGGUGGUGUACCAGGGAUGAGCACGGUGGGCACAGCUGGUGUUUGUGCAUGUUUGCCGCAUUCGAAGUGCACGCAAAUUUGCAUAGACUCAAGCAUCACGUUCGCGUUUCGACUGCUCCAAUGGAGGAAAUUCAUGGCAGAAUGGCUGGGCAGCUGAUAAGACAUGGAUAAUUUCGGAAAAAGGUUCUAAGACGAUGCCAUCAGCAAUUGGCUUGAUCGUUUAACCUCAACAAAUCAAUAAGAAACUAGAGUUAUGAGCAAUCAAAGUCUAACAUAUAAUAAUAACAGUUGAAUAUUUCUCAUCAGCACAUAUGUAUGUUCAGGUGUAUGUGUAAGGGUUCACAUAAAUCGAUUACCCACGUUCGGUGAUUUUUGUUUUUAUUGACAUCAUCUUUUAAAGAUGGCUUUCAAGUAACGACGUCCCAGCCGUUUUUCCAGCCCCCACAAUUUUUGCAGUGCCACCCACGUCAACAUUUUGGAAUUGAUGAUGUCGACGCACAUUAUGAAGUUCAAUAUCCUGGAUAAUGACGACAAAUUGCGCAAUAUUUGCACCAGACAGAAGAAGAAGGCAUGUCCCCAGGAUCCUGAUGACCAUUGGGUGGUGGUUGCUGGAUGCGUUGAUAGCUCGAGUGUCCUUCGUCACCGACUUCACUGCUGUUGCUGCGGUCAAACAUGAUUGAUGAACGCUAAUUAAUGCGGCGGCCCUUGUCUUCGUCUUAUUUCGAUUCGCUCACAAAUUGUGUAAUUAAUUCCCAUCUCGAGUGUCCCAAUAAUUAUGACGCCCACAAGAAAACCUCUCAAGUUUUCCUCACUUUUUUUAUGUUCACUACCAAGCCACUUUAGUGGGCAAAAAUAUCGCGUUAUGUCGCUAAGUGCACACUGUACUUUAGCAACUUUUAGUAUAUGGCUAUAAAGUUUGUUUUGCCUUUUGUGUUUAGCAUAAAGGAAUUUCGGUAAACUUAGAUCAUUUUAACAGUCAUUAUAAUAAUCCAAUUAUAACAGUAUUUUAUCGGAGUAUUUUCCUGUGACUAUUUCCUUAUUUAUGGCAUUUCCCUUUGGACCAUCGAUAUUAUCCUAUUUAUCACUCCGUCUCGAAGAAAUAUUGCACUGGUAAAAGCGAUUUAAGGCCACCAUUUUCCACGGCUGGUGUGGUUUUCUCUCAGCUGCCUCGAUUCGCUUUGCUUCACUGGCAGACAGAAUUGACAAUCAUUUUACACUUGGCAGGAUAUUAUGUAAAUUGCUUUUCAUAUUUGUGCAACAUUUAAAUUCGCAAACGCACACACCCACACACACACAUACAUGCACAACCAAAAUGCGGGAUAGAGAGAGAAAAGCGGAUGACAGCCGGUUGGAAAAGUAGGCGGCGGCGGCGGUGGAGUGUGAGUGAAAAGUAAAUCACGACUUUGGUAGAUGGUGUUGAUGUCAAAGCAAAAAAGGCAAGGCUGAGUCCCGGCAACAUCAUUAUAACGAUAGGCAGCAGGCCCCUAGGGCUGAUUGAAUACAAGACUGACUGGCUGAAGAACUGAAUGAAUGAAUGGAUGAAUGAGUGAAUGAAUCAGUGAACGACUGACUGCUGCAUGAACGAGACAGCAGAUACUCGAACCGAAAGAGACAGAACUAUUGAGGCGAGGCCUGGGGGAGAAAUUAACGAUGCGCGAAAAGUCUCUUGCCGAUUUCAAAUAGGGCAUGGUGGCGCAGGAAAAAUCCAGGAAGAGUAGCAGCCAAAGCAUGUGAAAAAUGCAUUAACGCAACUUCGCAAUUAACGAGGAAAUUACAUUACUUAGCAGCUAUGCUAUUAUUUAAUGGGUAACCGCCAGUCGGCUACCUUAAAUAUUGAAUUUAUGGCAACAAAGUGACUGUUUCUCCGUCUCCGUCCAUUUUGGGCUUUUCUGUGUUUUUACGUUUCUUUCGGUUUUACCAGCAUUAUUUUUAUUUAUUCCUGAGACUCAAAAAAAAAACAGGAUAAAUGGCGAGGGGCAAAGGGGAAACGCAAUCGCAAUGUGUCAGUUUUAAUGGGCCUGCAAUUGCCGCAGGCGCUUGAUGUCGGUCUACGUCUGUGUCACUUUAGCUGUGUCUCUUUCUGCUCCCGCAUCCCUAUCUUUUUCCGUCUUCCUGACGAGGAGGAAUCCCUGGAACCGAUUGGGUGCUAAGUGCAUUUCCAAGCCGACACUCAGUCCCGAAUCUCCUCUUCAAAACGACAGGCCUGCAAUUAAACUUCGGGCCAGAGGGCCAUAUACAAACCCUACAAAAAAAAAAAAAAAAACUUUGCAGCCUUAUUUAAGGGUGCCAAGUUACAAGCACAUCCACUACAGCCAUGUUUAUGACCAUUGAGUUAUUGGCCAACGAUUACUGGGAUCAAAUAUUGGAGCAUAGUAUGUACUAAAGGAUGAACAGAUCUAGUAGGCUUAGUGCCAGUACAUUCACAAAAAGUAUGCUGAUUUUUUCACAUUUCUCAGUUUGAAGCGAGCAACCAUAUCGUACACAUUGUAUUAUAAAUUAAAAAGGGAAACAAAAAUAACAGAAAGGAAAUUAGAAUCCAAUAAGAUGACUUGCAGUCAGAGAAGAAGGAAGCCGUUAGGAAACGCGAUGAAAAACAUUACCCCCGGAUUUGGACAUGAGCUUGAUAUUCUGGUGUUCUGGAUAGCCACACUGUCUCAGGAGAUUACCGAUUUGGUGGCCAUAUUGAACGCCCUUCGUGCUCAGGCAGACGCGUAAAUCAGCAGGAAAAUUUAUGAGAAUUCGCAGGCCAUCGAAAUCAAGCGCUCAUAGAAAUCAAGCAAGUAACAAAAAGACACGUUUGCAAUAGUUAAGGUCUGCAAAAAAAUUAUUCAUCAUGAAACAGAAAUGCAUAUUCAGCAUUAUUCACUUGCCCAGUAAACUAAUUGGAAAAUGUAUUAAAUAAACAUUUAAAUGCAUCAAGGCGAACGUGAACAUAAA